UCCAUAAUAGUUAAAAUCAUCUAAAUUAAACUUCAAAACAGCCUCUGAAUUAAAUAUAAGCAAAUUGUUCAAAAUCCUUAUAUUGAACAUUUUUCUAAAAGAGGCAAGCAUGAGGAUAGACGUAAAAAACGAGAAGAACAAGCUUUCUCACUCCAAAGGAACAUCAACAUCUCCAUCAUCGAUCUCCUGCUGCAGAUCCUUAGGGUCUUUUCCAUCAACAGUACACCCAACGGAGACGCACGUUCCCAAAAUCUCCUUCACUGUCCCUCUCAAAUCCUUAGCCAUCGACCUCGGCC
rnacentral:lncRNA from 1 species